rnacentral:rRNA from 1 species
AUUGAACGCUGGCGGCAGGCCUAACACAUGCAAGUCGAACGAGUGGCGGACGGGUGCGUAAUGUCUGGGAACCUGCCCGAUGGAGGGGGAUAACUACUGGAAACGGUAGCUAAUACCGCAUACCAUCGGAUCUGCCAAGAUGGUUUUAGCUAGUAGGUGGGGUAACGGCUCACCUAGGCGACGAUCCAUAGCUGUUCUGAGAGGAUGACCAGCCACACUGGAAAUGAGACACGGUCCAGGGUCCUAAGGGAGGCAGCAGGGGGGAAUAUUGCACAAUGGGCGAAAGCCUGAUGCAGCCAUGCCGCGUGUAUGAAGAAGGCCUUCGGGUUGUAAAGUACUUUCAGCGAGGAGGCGGUACUCGCAGAAGAAGCACCGGCUAACUCCGUGCCAGCCGCCGCGGUAAUAC